rnacentral:rRNA from 1 species
AUGGGGGAAACCCUGAUCCAGCCAUCCCGCGUGUGCGAUGAAGGCCUUCGGGUUGUAAAGCACUUUUGGCAGGAAAGAAAUCGCACGGGUUAAUACCUUGUGUGGAUGACGGUACCUGCAGAAUAAGCACCGGCUAACUACGUGCCAGCAGCCGCGGUAAUACGUAGGGUGCAAGCGUUAAUCGGAAUUACUGGGCGUAAAGCGUGCGCAGGCGGUUCGGAAAGAAAGGUGUGAAAUCCCAGGGCUUAACCUUGGAACUGCAUUUUUAACUACCGGGCUAGAGUAUGUCAGAGGGGGGUGGAAUUCCGCGUGUAGCAGUGAAAUGCGUAGAUAUGCGGAGGAACACCGAUGGCGAAGGCAGCCCCCUGGGAUAAUACUGACGCUCAUGCACGAAAGCGUGGGGAGCAAACAGGAUUAGAUACCCUGGUAGUCCACGCCCUAAACGAUGUCAACUAGCUGUUGGGGCCUUCGGGCCUUAGUAGCGCAGCUAACGCGUGAAGUUGACCGCCUGGGGAGUA